rnacentral:misc_RNA from 1 species
AACGCACAUUGCGCCCCUUGGUAUUCCAUGGGGCAUGCCUGUUCGAGCGUCAUUUGUACAUUUCAAGCAUUGCUUGGUGUUGGGUGUUUUGUCCUGCCUCUGAGCGUGGGACUCGCCUUAAAACAAUUGGCAGUCGGCAAUCUGGCGAUAGAGCGCAGCACAUUUUGCGCUCUUCGCUGUGUAUUGCGGCGUCCAUGAAGCCUAUAUUCUAGCGCUUGACCUCGGAUCAGGUAGGGAUACCCGCUGAACUUAA